rnacentral:rRNA from 1 species
AUUGAACGCUGGCGGCAUGCCUUACACAUGCAAGUCGAACGGCAGCGGACCUUCGGGUGCCGGCGAGUGGCGAACGGGUGAGUAAUAUAUCGGAACGUACCUUUCAGUGGGGGAUAACGUAGCGAAAGUUACGCUAAUAUCGCAUAUUCUGUGAGCAGGAAAGCAGGGGAUCGCAAGACCUUGCGCUGAUUGAGCGGCCGAUAUCAGAUUAGCUAGUUGGUGAGGUAAAGGCUCACCAAGGCGACGAUCUGUAGCGGGUCUGAGAGGAUGAUCCGCCACACUGGAACUGAGACACGGUCCAGACUCCUACGGGAGGCAGCAGUGGGGAAUUUUGGACAAUGGGCGCAAGCCUGAUCCAGCCAUGCCGCGUGAGUGAAGAAGGCCUGAGGGUUGUAAAGCACUUUCAAUCGUGAAGAAAAGUCACAGGCUAAUACCCUGUGACCUUGACGUUAACGAUACAAGAAGCACCGGCUAA